rnacentral:rRNA from 1 species
UACAGAGGUCUUACAGCGUUGUUCGGAUUCAUUGGGCGUAAAGGGUGCGUAGGUGGCGGGGUAAGUCGGAUGUGAAAUCUCAGGGCUCAACCCUGAAACUGCAUUCGAUACUGCCUUGCUCGAGGACUGGAGAGGAGAUUGGAAUUCACGGUGUAGCAGUGAAAUGCGUAGAUAUCGUGAGGAAGACCAGUGGCGAAGGCGGAUCUCUGGACAGUUCCUGACACUGAGGCACGAAGGCCAGGGGAGCAAACGGG